rnacentral:tRNA from 1 species
GCCCAGGUGGCGGAAUUGGUAGACGCGCCAGCUUCAGGUGCUGGUAUUCGUAUGGAUGUGGAGGUUCGAGUCCUCUCCUGGGCACCA